rnacentral:tRNA from 1 species
UUUAUAUUAGUUGAAGCC